UACGGAGGGGGCAAGCGUUAUUCGGAAUUAUUGGGCGUAAAGCGUCCGUAGGUGGUUUAGUAAGUCUGCUGUUAAAGCGCGGGACUUAACUCCGUAUCGGCAGUGGAAACUACUAGACUAGAGUGUGGUAGGGGUAGAGGGAAUUCCCAGUGUAGCGGUGAAAUGCGUAGAUAUUGGGAAGAACACCGGUGGCGAAGGCGCUCUACUGGGCCAUAACUGACACUGAUGGACGAAAGCUAGGGGAGCGAAAGGG
rnacentral:rRNA from 1 species